rnacentral:tRNA from 1 species
UCCCUGCUAGCUCAGUUGGUAGAGAAUCCGCCUGCAACGCGGGAGACCUGGGUUCAAUGCCUGGGUCGGGGA